GGGAAGGGAGGUGUCAAGCGUCCGUGCGACGCUCACCUCGCGGAGCAGAAAGGAGAUGCGGCUGCGAGGCGCGUACUCCGCCUGUGCCGCGUCCGCCCGGCGUUUACAAGCCGCGGGGGUGCCGCCUGCAAGUCAGCGCCUGGCACUUCCUGCCGCCCAUCUGGCCCAGCCUCCCGCCCCGACCCGCGGGCAGGAACCGGACUCGAACUCCUGGUCUCACGGAACGUGGCCAAGCCCCAGGCGCCUCUGAGAAAUGGGGACAAUUCGUAGGGGGGACCACGCCGCACUGAGGAUGAACAAGCCAGGCGUAGCAAUGGAGAAGUUAAUGUGAAUAAGACGAAACGCACAACAGGAAGUUGUUCCCAGUUGCUUUUUAGGAGAGAUAUUAUACAUACUCAGCAAUGCAUAUGAAAAGCGUCUGAAAGGACACACAGGAAAUUUAGCAGUGGGUGAACUAUGAAAA
rnacentral:lncRNA from 1 species